UCCAAUUUGCCGAGUAGCUCCAUGAGUUAUGCUUCAGGAGUUUGUCUGCCAUCAAUAGAGGCUGAAAGGAUCUCAACACUGGAUACAAGAACACUCCAGCAGGAAGUUACUUUUAAGAUUCUUUGCGCCAAUGAUAGGGUUGGGGGUGUCAUUGGAAAAGGGGGUGCCAUUGUCAAGGCUCUUCAGAAUGAGACUGGUGCUACUAUAAGUGUUGGAGGAUCUGUGGCCGAGUGUGAUGAAAGAUUAAUUACUGUUACUGCAUAAGAGAAUCCUGAGUCCCGCUACUCUCCAGCACAAAAAGGUCUUGUUCUUGUCUUCUCAAGGUCUGUAGAGGCAGGCAUUGAAAAGAGGCAAGACUCGAGCUCCAAAGGGUCACCUCUUAUUGCACGCCUUGUUGUCCCGACAAGCCAAGUUGGUUGUUUGCUCGGAAAAGGGGGUGUAAUAGUUUCAUAGAUUCGGAAGGUAACUGGUACCGGUAUACGGAUAAUAGGUGGUGUCCAGGUCCCGAAGUGUGCCGUAGAGAAUGACGAAGUUGUACAGGUGUCAAGAAAUUUUUCAAGUGUGCAAGAUGCUUUGUACAAUAUUACUGGUAGGUUACGAGAUAACCUUUUCUCCAACACAGUAAAUAAUUCUGGAAGGAGGAAUAGUUCAGCCGUGCUAACAGAUACCAAUCCUUAUGGAAGACUCAG